GAUGAACGCUGGCGGCGUGCCUAAUACAUGCAAGUCGAGCGAACAGAUAAGGAGCUUGCUCCUUUGACGUUAGCGGCGGACGGGUGAGUAACACGUGGAUAACCUACCUAUAAGACUGGGAUAACUUCGGGAAACCGGAGCUAAUACCGGAUAACAUAUUGAACCGCAUGGUUCAAUAGUGAAAGGCGGCUUUGCUGUCACUUAUAGAUGGAUCCGCGCCGUAUUAGCUAGUUGGUAAGGUAACGGCUUACCAAGGCAACGAUACGUAGCCGACCUGAGAGGGUGAUCGGCCACACUGGAACUGAGACACGGUUCAGACUCCUACGGGAGGCAGCAGUAGGGAAUCUUCCGCAAAGGGCGAAAGCCUGACGGAGCAACGCCGCGUGAGUGAUGAAGGUCUUCGGAUCGUAAAACUCUGUUAUCAGGGAAGAACAAAUGUGUAAGUAACUGUGCACAUCUUGACGGUACCUGAUCAGAAAGCCACGGCUAACUACGUG
rnacentral:rRNA from 1 species